rnacentral:tRNA from 1 species
ACCUUCGUGGUGUAGUGGUCAGCACGCUCGCUCGUAUUCGAAAGGUCCGUGGUUCGAGUCCAGGUGAGGGCA